rnacentral:misc_RNA from 1 species
GUUUUUGGCAGCUAGAGGAAGAAGAGAGAGCAGCUAGUACACUAGUACAGCUAGCAGAGCAAAACCAGCAAAGGCGCGCGAUCAGGCCAGAAGAGAAUAAUGGAGAAGAUGAACGUGGUUGCGAGCAGGAAGCAGGGCGGCGACUGGAUCUGCCGGUCGUGCCAGUACGUGAACUUCUGCAAGCGCGACGCGUGCCAGCGCUGCGGCGAGGCGAGGCUGGGCGUGGAGCGGACGGACUACGGCGCGCUGGGCGGCGACUGGGACGUGAAGCCCGGCGACUGGUACUGCUACCGCUGCGGCGUGAACAACUACGCCUCCCGCGCCGGCUGCUUCAAGUGCGGCGCCGCCAAGAACGAGUCUCCGCCGGCCGCCGUCGCCCAGGGCUGGGGCUACACCGCCGCCGGCCAGGCCGGAAUGAAGCCCGGCGACUGGAUCUGCCCAAGACUGGGCUGCAACGUGCAGAACUACGCCAACCGAACCGAGUGCUUCCGGUGCAGCAUGCCCAAAUCAUACUACGGUUGAUGGGGGCAACUGCACGCGCGUACACUGAUCGAUGAGAAAAAAAAACAGAAGGAAAAAACAAUAAUAUAUAGUAAUAAUAAGUAUUAUUGUACGAGAUCGAAGAGCUAGAGACAGCACAAUUAACUGCAUUUUCCUUUCCUUUUUUUUUUCUUUUGAAU